UACGAAGGGGGCUAGCGUUGUUCGGAAUUACUGGGCGUAAAGCGCGCGCAGGCGGUCUUCCAAGUCAGUGGUGAAAGCCCGGAGCUCAACUCCGGAACUGCCAUUGAAACUGUUAGACUUGAGGAUGAGAGAGGUGAGUGGAAUUCCCAGUGUAGAGGUGAAAUUCGUAGAUAUUGGGAAGAACACCGGUGGCGAAGGCGACCUUCUGGGCUGCACCUGGCACUGAGACGCGAAAGCAUGGGUGGCAAACAGG
rnacentral:rRNA from 1 species